GAGAUCCGCAUCAGUACCCAGUGGACGUCAGGGACUCAUGGUCAGUUGGGGAAAUGGACCUGUGUGGUGACACUGCCAAGCUGCUUCUCAGUACAGAGUCCUGUGCGUGGUUAAGCAGCAGGAUCCCGGCACUAAUGAGAACGUGGAGUGCUGGACCUGGAGACAAGGCAGAGUCAUCAGCAUGGCCACACAUUUAUCUCUGGGACAUUCUGCCUUCUCUGCUGGAAUGGGCUCAUUGAACACCAACUGCUCGUUCACCUCAGCUCCUGGCACCCACAGUCUACUCUGCUGCUACGACCUUGGGGCCGGAGACCUGAAAUCAGAUCCCCAUGCUCAUGUGGCCAGCACAUCACCGACUGAGCUGCCCUCCUUCCUCCCCUUCUCUCAUGGCCUUCAACUUGGUACGUGGCUGAAGAAUGACCUUGAACUCCUCAAUCCCCUGCCUCCACCUUCCGAGGGUUGAGAUUUUAGGGGAUGCUGUAACAUCUAGCCUCCAGUUUCUGAAAACA